AACAAAGGAAAAUGGCUAGUGCAGCAGGUCACGGUUUCUUACCCUUUCAAGAAUCAGCAUGACAAUGAAGGCUCUCAUUAUCUGCAAUUACGGACGAUUCACCAACUGUGCAAGCAACCUAAUAUUCACUGCACCUUUGCCGUGGUUCGGCUAGACAUACAAUGCAACAAUUUAACAGCCUAUGGAAGCUAAGUUUUCCAUCGAUGCGCAUUACCCAGUUGCAGG
rnacentral:misc_RNA from 1 species